rnacentral:lncRNA from 1 species
AUGGCUUUUGAUUGCUCCCAGGAAAACAAAACACAAACUCUUCAGUCAGCAAUCCUCAUCCUUAGAGUGUCCUCAUCAUCAUCACUUCUCAGAAGCCUAACUUCACUAUCCAUCAUGACACCCCCGCUCAGUCAGGCCAGCAGACAGUCCUGGACUAGACUAAGAAAAUCUCCCCUGGCUUCUCUGACCCUCAGGUGGAGGUCACAGCUUCCUUCAGCUGAUACAAGAGACAGACUGCUCAAUAUGUCUUCCCCAUCUUCUGAGUUGCAAAAGACAAAUCAAUAA